rnacentral:rRNA from 1 species
GAAACUGAGAUUAAUACCCCAUAAGAUUGACAAUAUUGCAUAGUGUGUCAAUUAAAGUUGAGGCGCUUGGAGAUGGGUGUGCGUCCCAUUAGCUAGUUGGUGAGGUAAUAGCUCACCAAGGCGACGAUGGGUAGGGGGCGUGAGAGCGUGGUCCCCCACACGGGUACUGGGACACGGACCCGACUCCUACGGGAGGCAGCAGUAAGGAAUAUUGGACAAUGGGCGGAAGCCUGAUCCAGCCAUCCCGCGUGCAGGAUGAAUGCCCUACGGGUUGUAAACUGCUUUUACCAGGGAAGAAAUCUCCUGAUUUAUUGGGAGCUGACGGUACCUGGGGAAUAAGCACCGGCUAACUCCGUGCCAGCAGCCGCGGUAAUACGGAGGGUGCAAGCGUUAUCCGGAAUUACUGGGUUUAAAGGGUGCGUAGGCGGCGUUGUUAGUCAGUAGUGAAAUCCCACGGCUCAACUGUGGAAUUGCUUUUGAUACUGCAAUGCUUGAAUUGGGUUAAGGUAGGCGGAAUGUGGCAUGUAGCGGUGAAAUGCAUA